rnacentral:rRNA from 1 species
AGGCUUAACACAUGCAAGUCGAGCGGGCGAGGUUGCUUCGGUAACUGAGCUAGCGGCGGACGGGUGAGUAAUGCUUAGGAAUCUGCCUAUUAGUGGGGGACAACAUUCCGAAAGGAAUGCUAAUACCGCAUACGCCCUACGGGGGAAAGCAGGGGAUCUUCGGACCUUGCGCUAAUAGAUGAGCCUAAGUCAGAUUAGCUAGUUGGUGGGGUAAAGGCCUACCAAGGCGACGAUCUGUAGCGGGUCUGAGAGGAUGAUCCGCCACACUGGGACUGAGACACGGCCCAGACUCCUACGGGAGGCAGCAGUGGGGAAUAUUGGACAAUGGGCGCAAGCCUGAUCCAGCCAUGCCGCGUGUGUGAAGAAGGCCUUUUGGUUGUAAAGCACUUUAAGCGAGGAGGAGGCUACUUGGAUUAAUACUCUAGGAUAGUGGACGUUACUCGCAGAAUAAGCACCGGCUAACUCUGUGCCAGCAGCCGCGGUAAUACAGAGGGUGCGAGCGUUAAUCGGAUUUACUGGGCGUAAAGCGUGCGUAGGCGGCUUCUUAAGUCGGAUGUGAAAUCCCUGAGCUUAACUUAGGAAUUGCAUUCGAUACUGGGAAGCUAGAGUAUGGGAGAGGAUGGUAGAAUUCCAGGUGUAGCGGUGAAAUGCGUAGAGAUCUGGAGGAAUACCGAUGGCGAAGGCAGCCAUCUGGCCUAAUACUGACGCUGAGGUACGAAAGCAUGGGGAGCAAACAGGAUUAGAUACCCUGGUAGUCCAUGCCGUAAACGAUGUCUACUAGCCGUUGGGGCCUUUGAGGCUUUAGUGGCG